UUUGUUGCCCACUACCUCCACAACUCGACCGCCUAAAAUAUUACCUUUAACCAUUUUGGGUAUUACAUAUUCUAAUGUUCUCAUUAAAUAUAACUGACUACUAAACUCACAUUUUUAACUGCUCUUAAGGUAGUUUCUAGCGGUUCCAUACAUUAAGGACGGUUUCUUGUAGUUAUUCCCCACUCUGGCUGCGAUUCUUGGCCCCCAUUUGGUUUCCUCGCCCAUAAAACUAUUAAACUAACUAGCCUCCAAAAAAACUGGGUGAAGCCUGAUUUUGCUCUACACGUUGGUGAAAUGUGAUCUAAAAUUCCAAAGCGGCUUUCACCAUCAUUCUUCCAUAACACAAACCAUUACUUCUUCUCAUCUUAAAUAAAUAUCCUAGCCGCCAUCACCAACACUUGAAAUCAACUAGAAGAUACGGUUCCGUUUCUUUUUUGUUUUUGUUUUUGUUUCUGUUUAAUUUGAUUCCGUGCGUGAUUGAUUGGAAUUUAGUGUUUUGUGUUCUGUUUGCUCAAGAAUUGAGGCUGUUGGAUUUUUAAUCCGCUUAAUUUAGGGGUUGGUAGGGGUUGUGUUGGAAAUUCGGGAUUAAAUUGUGUUUCUAUUUUUAUGGCUCAUCUAAUGCAUAUUGUUGUUUUGAUGAUAUCUUUAUAUUUUCGAUACCGAUUUACGGUUUUGCGGCUGAAUUUCUUAAGUUACAGUUUGCUUGGUAUGUCUCUGUUUUGAAUUUGUUGGCCAUUGUGGAAAUUGAUGGGAUGUGUAUAGAAUUUAGGUAUGUUAUAUAACUUGCAUUAUGCCUGUUAUAGUUCCAGUCAUGUUCUUGGGCUUCCAGGGCUUUCUGAAUCAUAACAAGUCGUCUGUGAUGCUGCCAAGAUCCAUGGCGUUUUCUAUCUUCAAUUCAAUUCAGCCAGUGCAAGAAUUUGUUUCAUUUGUGAGAUGAAUGCUACUGAGCAUCCCGUUGCCGUCGUCGAUGAAGAUGUUCAAUCUAUUGUUAUCGCCGGAUUGGUGGGAAGAAAUUAAUGAAUCGAAGAACUGGAAGAUUGGCGAAUUCUGUACAAUUGGCCUCACUCCUCACUGUUGACUUUUGUGGAUUCUCUCAAGGCUUUUGAGGGAGGUAUUGUGUGUGUCAACUGUUCACAUCCAUGCUUCUCUCAAGCUCCAUGGGGUGGGAAAAAGCAUAGCGAUUUUGGCUGUGAACUUGAGAAUGGGAACUUGAGAAUUACUUAAGCGUGAAGAAGUGGGAUUGGUAUACACCUCCAUCUUCUAAGACCAUGGGGUAUGGUGGGGCGGGGGUUUGGGGCAUGAGUUAACACGUGGAGUUCGAGCCCCCCCGCUGGUGAGUGACGUGUCCGUGGGGUAUGGUGGGGCGUGGCUAGCCCGGCGUGGCCAAUGGUUGUAUUUUAAAAUUUAAACAUGGUCCGCUAUGCCCUAGCCAACAAGACAAUAAGAGCCGGUCACAUAGGAUCACUAGCAUGCCCCACGCCCCCUUAAACUCCCGCCCAAGGGGCCACGCC